GUGGUACUAGGAAAGACUUUGUGUAUCUUGCUAGCUAAAACAAAUUUUCUCCAUUUCUCUAAGUGUAGUUUACAGAAAAUAGUAAGUGGAUUCUUAACAUAGGUGGUUUAGCUUUACAAUUGCCUUGGUGCCUAAAGAGGAAGCAAGGAUUUUAGAGUGAAAUAACUUUGAGAAGGAGAUUUGUUCUAUGCAAGGAAGUGGCAUAGAUAUUUGGAGAAGUUAGGACUGCAGUAUAACGUAAAACAGUAAAAGGAUCUAUGAGGAGGGGGAGAAGGUGGAAACCAGACAUUUGGAGGUGGUAGUUGGUGUAAAAAUGACUCAUUAAGUGACUGUGUGCUUGCUUUCCUAAGGCCAAAGCUCCUGGAGUUAGUUGUAUGGAGUGCAUGAAGACACUUAGCAGUCCUGAUCAAUAAUGCUGCUAUCAAGUUUUGAAAGUUUCUGCAAAAAGCUUUAUUGAAUGCUUCAGUAAGUAACAGAGGACAUCAGAUCUGGACACCUAAAGGACCGUGUUGCAGAUCUUCAAAUAUGCUCAUCCUUGCAACAGUUGGAGUUUUUCUAUCUAUAAUGAAUAAUGAAGCUUAAGUCCAAGCAGCUUUUCUGAGCUGUACUCAAGACUAACUGAUCACUAAGAGUGAUUACCCACAAAGAUGUGAUGAAGGCCACGGGAUGUUCCUGGGAUGAUAUGGGACAGUAGGAAGGGUGAUGUGGAGUCCCCAGUGCCACCUUCCACUGGAAUGCCCCUCCAGGGGCCUAAAACCAAACCAACAGACUGAAAUCUCAGCUGAGAACCAGAUCUGUGGCUGUAUUUCCUGCUUGCACAAAUAGGGAGUUGCAUAAACACCACAGAAAGCUGACACCUGGGAAUCUGUGCAGUUGCCUUAAGGGCAAUUAGCUAUAAAAGGUAGGGCUAAAAGCUAAUUGCUCUGGUUUAGUUCUCAAAGUGCAGGUGAAGCUUGCUGAGAAAUGAAACGAAGGCUGGAGAAAGGCCAGUUAAAAAAUUCUCUCUCUGGACUUGGACUAGAACUUUUUAGCACUGAAAACUCCUGCCAGUUUGACAGUAAAUUUUGUGUUCUGGUGCCUGCUAGAAUGAGGUACUGAAUUUUUACUUUGUUGUUCAGACAUUUGGGAUAUUUUGUGCCUUUUCUUCCCUUGUUUUGGGGUAAGGGUGGGAUGGGGCGGUUUGAAUCAUCAAGUGAUAAAAUGCUCCUAGUUUGCAUAGCUGCAAUGUGUAUCAUAACUGAAAGCUGUAUGGAUGAUGAUGAUGAUCAGAGGAUCUCAGCAGAAGGCAUUUAUCAUGUUAUUCAAUUAACUUGAAGGGGAAAAAAAAAAUGUCUUCCCAGCCAUUUUUGCAUUAGACAUAUGUGGUAAAAAUAGAUGUUUACGAAAGAUUUGAGGCUGGUUCUGUUGGAGUGGAGUGCAAUGGAAAAGUGUAGAACAGCUGCUAUACAGUUGAAUCACUGGAAUAAGGAGGGGAAAUUACUUUCCUGUCUCAAUCUUUGAGUUCUCAAAUACUUUUUGUGUCAUAAGUGAAGGUAUUUAAAAUGUUCGGUUUGAAACAGAUACACAAAAUACUUGUUCCAACAUCUUGAAAACAUUGUUUCUACUCUUUCAUGUUUGUCAGUUGACAAAAAGUUUGUUCCUCUUAAUUUUAAAAUGUCAAGAAAUGACGUAUGAAUAAAGAGUGGGAGAAGGAAAUCCCAAAUCUUGAA